AUGAUCUCUGCUGUUCUUGGUGCUGUACUUGCAAUAGGGAAGUCUGGUGAAAAACCAGCGCGGCCCCGCCACUGUGAUUGCGUUGGGCUGAGCAAAGAGCCACUGUUCACCGCCUUCGGGCAUCCGUGAAUGGGAAGGCGUUCAGCCCGGAAAAGCAUCAGCCAGGAGACCUGCCAGGAACCCCCAGAGCUG
rnacentral:ncRNA from 2 species